rnacentral:rRNA from 1 species
AUUGAACGCUGGCGGAAUGCUUUACACAUGCAAGUCGAACGGCAGCACGGACUUCGGUCUGGUGGCGAGUGGCGAACGGGUGAGUAAUACAUCGGAACGUGCCCAAUCGUGGGGAUAACGUAGCGAAAGCUACGCUAAUACCGCAUACGAUCUAAGGAUGAAAGCGGGGGAUCGCAAGACCUCGCGCGAUUGGAGCGGCCGAUGGCAGAUUAGGUAGUUGGUAGGGUAAAGGCCUACCAAGCCGACGAUCUGUAGCUGGUCUGAGAGGAUGAUCAGCCACACUGGGACUGAGACACGGCCCAGACUCCUACGGGAGGCAGCAGUGGGGAAUUUUGGACAAUGGACGCAAGUCUGAUCCAGCCAUUCCGCGUGCAGGAUGAAGGCCCUCGGGUUGUAAACUGCUUUUGUACAGAACGAAAAGGCUCUGGUUAAUACCUAGGGCUCAUGACGGUACUGUAAGAAUAAGCACCGGCUAACUACGUGCCAGCAGCCGCCGUAACAC